AGAAGGGUUGACUCAGAGGAGGGACCAGGCAGAGGGCGAGCUGGGAGGCAGAAGUGUCUCUGAGUGGAGCCAUGCAGAGAAUCAGCUCCUUCGUCUGUCUCACCCUCUUCUGGGCAGGAGCCAUGUCAGAUUUCAUUUUAGUGCCUCAAGACCAAGUAGUGACUGUGUCCAAAGGGGGCUCUGCCACCUUCAGUUACUCCAUGGGAGGAGAAAAUAUCAAUAACUUUUACGUCAGCUGGUACAGGAAGACCCAGAGGAGCACAGUGACUUUCAUAUACCGAGAAGGGGACGUGUUUGGUCCUGGUUUCCAGAACAGGAGCCAAGGUAGAAUUGAUAUUUCAAAAAACCAGGCUGUACUUGAGAUCUUUGAAGUAUCAGAAAGAGAUGAAGGAUUUUACUACUGCUCUUGUAGUCGCACUGGAGACCCAGAAUGUCCACCACUGAUCUUUGGCAAAGGAACCUACCUGGAGGUAGAACCAAAAAAUCAGCCCCCUGUCAAACCACACGUUUUCAUCAUGAAAAAUGGGACGAAUGUUGCUUGUCUGGUGAAGGAUUUCUACCCCAAGAAUGUAAAUAUAAGUCUCCAGUCAUCCAAGAAAAUAAUAGAAUUUGACCCUGUUGUCGCCGUUACUCCCAGUGGGAAGUACAGUGCUGUCAAGCUUGGUCGAUAUGCAGAUUCUAAUUCAGUGACAUGUUCAGUUCAACACAACGAUGAAAUCGUGUACUCCACUGACACUGAACCGAAAACAAAGUACUCCACUGACUUUGAACCGAAAACAAACGCUUCAGAUAAUCCAAAACCAGUGGAAACUGAAAACAUACACCAAACUUCAGAGAGAUGCUCUGAACUCAAAGCCUUGGUGCACGCCGAGAAGGUGAACAUGAUGUCCCUCACGGUGCUGGGGCUCCGAAUGCUGUUGGCCAAGACUGUUGCCGUCAAUUUUCUCUUGACUGCCAAGUUAUUUUUCUUCUAAGGCUGACUGACAUAAGAAGGCUAAACUCCCUGAAAGGAACUGAAAGCCUACAGAGGUGCUAUCUAUCUCUUAGGCUUCUGACUUCUCAGUGAUUCAAGUUAACCCACCACAGCCUUGCUUAAAUUGCUGCUACCCAAACCAGUUUUUCUUCAAAGGCAACAAACUUAGUUUAUCCUCCAGCCUGAUGGAACGACAAAAGUCCUGGAGGGUAGGGGUUUGUGGUCCUAAGUGCUUUAUAUGCUGCUUUAUAAAUGGAUAUAGAAAUGCAAAGGGAUAGAGGGCUCAUUUUUUACUGAUACACUUUGAAAAUGGUGUUUGGUUCAUCUGACUUUUUUUGCCUUCAGAAGUAGAAAGUGGGAGCCAACAGGUUACCAGCUCCAUUCUCCAAGAGAAAAGCAGACCCUGGGGGAAGGAGAGCAGGACUCCUUUACCUAAACAUGAAAGGUUCUGCUCAACCCAGCACUAGAUUUGCCCCAAACUAGCAUCUCAUCCACAAAAGUACUUUCUGCUCUUCCUACUAUUUUACAAACAAAAUUAGAUUUGACAUCCCUGACACCCAUGACGUAGGCAAAGGGGUUUCUAAAAUCUCAUCUAAAUACUUACUCUCCAAGCUCUUAGCAGAGAUCAGAGUAAAAUACAGAAGAAAUGCACUUCUAUUAAUUGAUUUAACAAACAUGAAUUGAUUCCCUCUAAGUUCCAGGUACUUUGUUUAAAAUGCAAAAAUGAGUAAGACAUGGGUCUUGCUUUCAAGCAAUUCAUACACAAGUGUUUUUGGAAGGAGGGAUAGAAAUGAGAGCCCCAGAUUUCCCCUGUAAAACCAGUAUCUUUACUAUCCUUGCCCGCCAAUCUAUACAUAGGGACCUGGACAGUGACUCUCGCCUGGGCACUUGGCAUUGAUGGCUCUCUGCCAUUCUGCUCUGAUACUGUCUCUGUUGCAUUUAUUAAAGUGUAUUGUGUGUGCCUCA